rnacentral:rRNA from 1 species
CCUACGGGCUGCAGCAGUGGGGAAUAUUGCACAAUGGGCGCAAGCCUGAUGCAGCCAUGCCGCGUGUGUGAAGAAGGCCUUCGGGUUGUAAAGCACUUUCAGCGGGGAGGAAGGCGGUGAGGUUAAUAACCUCACCGAUUGACGUUACCUGCAGAAGAAGCACCGGCUAACUCCGUGCCAGCAGCCGCGGUAAUACGGAGGGUGCAAGCGUUAAUCGGAAUUACUGGGCGUAAAGCGUACGCAGGCGGUCUGUCAAGUCGGAUGUGAAAUCCCCGGGCUCAACCUGGGAACUGCAUUCGAAACUGGCAGGCUAGAGUCUUGUAGAGGGGGGUAGAAUUCCAGGUGUAGCGGUGAAAUGCGUAGAGAUCUGGAGGAAUACCGGUGGCGAAGGCGGCCCCCUGGACAAAGACUAACGCUCAGGUGCGAAAGCGUGGGGAGCAAACAGGAUUAGAUACCCCCGUAGUC